GUAGGUGGCAAGCGUUGUCCGGGAAUUAUUGGGCGUAAAGCGCGCGCAGGCGGUUCUUUAAGUCUGAUGUGAAAGCCCACGGGCUCAACCGUGGAGGGUCAUAGGAAACUGGAGAACUUGAGUACAGAAGAGGAAAGCGGAAUUCCACGUGUAGCGGUGAAAUGCGUAGAGAUGUGGAGGAACACCAGUGGCGAAGGCGGCUUUCUGGUCUGUAACUGACGCUGAGGCGCGAAAGCGUGGGGAGCAAACAGGAUUAGAUACCCUGGUAGUCCACGCCGUAAACGAUGAGUGCUAAGUGUUAGGGGGUUUCCGCCCCUUAGUGCUGCAGCUAACGCAUUAAGCACUCCGUCUGGGGAGUACGGCCGCAAAGGCUGA
rnacentral:rRNA from 1 species